CGCCUUUGGUAUUCCAAAAGGCCCACCUGUUUGAGUGUCAU
rnacentral:rRNA from 1 species